ACCAUUCAGUUUGUUGACUGGUGCCCAACUGGAUUCAAGUGCGGUAUCAACUAUCAGCCACCAACUGUUGUUCCGGGAGGCGACCUUGCUAAGGUGCAGAGGGCUGUUUGCAUGAUCUCCAAUUCCACAAGUGUUGCAGAAGUCUUCGGACGCAUUGAUCACAAGUUUGAUCUCAUGUAUGCCAAGCGUGCCUUUGUGCACUGGUAUGUUGGUGAGGGCAUGGAAGAAGGAGAGUUCUCUGAGGCUCGUGAGGAUCUUGCUGCUCUGGAGAAGGAUUAUGAGGAGGUUGGUGCCGAAUCUGCUGAAGGGGAUGACGGUGACGAAGGAGAUGAGUAUUGAUUGAGGGUUUUCUGUGAUUAUAUGGCUAUUUCUGUUAUUAUGGUUUGUUUUUGAGCCAGAUUGCUAGAAUUGAGGUUUAAAUUGUUGGUGAUUUCUUUCAUUUGUAAUCAUUUUCAUAUCCAUUUGCUUCUUCCUGCCAUUUCGGUCUUUUUUUAAUUUUCUACUAAACACAUUCUAAGAACAGAGAAUGAAGUGAAAUUAAAUACCCAGUCUGCAGCGCAGAGCGCAGUAGCUCUAAUUAGUAAUUAGAGCGAGGGUUUUAUAAAGAUUCAAAAACAAAGAGUUGUAAGAAUUAGGAAUUAGUAAUUUCUACCUUUUUUGGUUCAAAUUCUUUACUUAGAGGAAAGAAAUAAUUUACUUUCGCAGAAGCAAGUUGCUUCCUGAGAACCGGG
rnacentral:misc_RNA from 1 species